rnacentral:rRNA from 1 species
UACGAAGGGUGCUAGCGUUGUUCGGAAUUACUGGGCGUAAAGAGCGCGUAGGCGGUUAUACAAGUCAGGGGUGAAAUCCCAGAGCUUAACUCUGGAACUGCCUUUGAAACUGUAUAGCUGGAGUGUGUGAGGGGAUAGCGGAAUUCUUAAUGUAGAGGUGAAAUUCGUAGAUAUUAAGAGGAACACCGGUGGCGAAGGCGACUUACUGGACACAUAUUGACGCUGAGGUGCGAAAGCGUGGGGAGCAAACAGG